UCCUCGCGCCUUCUCGUUUUCUUCGAGAAAAGUUGCAAGCUGGAUUUCUUCCCCUUAGGUUAAGCGCUGGCUUUGGUGCCUUCUGUUCCACAACGCUGGCAGCAGGCUUGGCCGCGAGGUUUUGCUUUGGUUUUGGAGACAGACUGCGCCUGUGUGCGUGCGUGCGCUGAGCCUUGACAAGCCUCAGAGCCCUGCCGCCUCCCGCACCCUGCUGCAGCAAGAGAGGAGAAAACCGACAAGGUGAAAUGCAAUGGGAGGAGAGCGAGCCGGUGGAUCUUUAUUUUAGUCUGCGAGCUGAAAGAGAGACUAAACUGGCACUCGGGGCUGCUGCUUUUAUAAAGGAGAGAUGGGUGGAGCAUAACUUGCCAUCCUCCUCUUGGCCGGGUAUCAAGGCGAAAAAUCUAGCGAGGGAGCAGCAGCUCCUCGCUGACAAAAUAAAAGUGUGUUAAUUUGAAUGAUUAAUUAAUUAAAAAUGGCUAACGCUA